rnacentral:lncRNA from 1 species
AUGACUAUCAUUGAGACAUCUGAAGAACCGUUGACCAUGAGUUUCUUUGAGAAGUUUAGGAAGAACAAUGCACCACCUGCUCCCCCUAAGCGAGUCGAAAAUAAUUCUGCCUAUGGUUGGCCGGAUGAUGAAUUUGAUGAGGAGGAGGAUGCAGACACAUACGAGGCUCCUCCCUGCGAGCGGCCGGCUGUGAAGAUUCCAACUCGUCCACCAGAGGAAAAUGUCUACCUGGAUGGAGGCUUCACUGGAAGAGCAUCCAACCCUGUGGUCCCGAACAGACAGGCCGCCCCGCCCCCUCGGCCUGGGAAGAGUAAAAACAUAAAACCACUGCCACCUCCAGUAGAUCCUGAAGAUUUUUACAUCGACCCCAAUAUCAAACGUGAGGAGUCCUCCCUUCCAUAUACACACACAUUCUGUAGGGAGGUGUACGGAGGGAAAACAGACUUGGUGUUGGAAAAUAGUGCAUGGUGUGUUUGUGCAUGUCUAUAG